GAACGCUGGCGGCGUGCCUAAUACAUGCAAGUCGAACGCACAGCGAAAGGUGCUUGCACCUUUCAAGUGAGUGGCGAACGGGUGAGUAACACGUGGACAACCUGCCUCAAGGCUGGGGAUAACAUUUGGAAACAGAUGCUAAUACCGAAUAAAACUUAGUGUCGCAUGACACAAAGUUAAAAGGCGCUUCGGCGUCACCUAGAGAUGGAUCCGCGGUGCAUUAGUUAGUUGGUGGGGUAAAGGCCUACCAAGACAAUGAUGCAUAGCCGAGUUGAGAGACUGAUCGGCCACAUUGGGACUGAGACACGGCCCAAACUCCUACGGGAGGCUGCAGUAGGGAAUCUUCCACAAUGGGCGAAAGCCUGAUGGAGCAACGCCGCGUGUGUGAUGAAGGCUUUCGGGUCGUAAAGCACUGUUGUAUGGGAAGAACAGCUAGAAUAGGAAAUGAUUUUAGUUUGACGGUACCAUACCAGAAAGGGACGGCUAAAUACGUGCCAGCAGCCGCGGUAAUACGUAUGUCCCGAGCGUUAUCCGGAUUUAUUGGGCGUAAAGCGAGCGCAGACGGUUUAUUAAGUCUGAUGUGAAAGCCCGGAGCUCAACUCCGGAAUGGCAUUGGAAACUGGUUAACUUGAGUGCAGUAGAGGUAAGUGGAACUCCAUGUGUAGCGGUGGAAUGCGUAGAUAUAUGGAAGAACACCAGUGGCGAAGGCGGCUUACUGGACUGCAACUGACGUUGAGGCUCGAAAGUGUGGGUAGCAAACAGGAUUAGAUACCCUGGUAGUCCACACCGUAAACGAUGAACACUAGGUGUUAGGAGGUUUCCGCCUCUUAGUGCCGAAGCUAACGCAUUAAGUGUUCCGCCUGGGGAGUACGACCGCAAGGUUGAAACUCAAAGGAAUUGACGGGGACCCGCACAAGCGGUGGAGCAUGUGGUUUAAUUCGAAGCAACGCGAAGAACCUUACCAGGUCUUGACAUCCUUUGAAGCUUUUAGAGAUAGAAGUGUUCUCUUCGGAGACAAAGUGACAGGUGGUGCAUGGUCGUCGUCAGCUCGUGUCGUGAGAUGUUGGGUUAAGUCCCGCAACGAGCGCAACCCUUAUUGUUAGUUGCCAGCAUUCAGAUGGGCACUCUAGCGAGACUGCCGGUGACAAACCGGAGGAAGGCGGGGACGACGUCAGAUCAUCAUGCCCCUUAUGACCUGGGCUACACACGUGCUACAAUGGCGUAUACAACGAGUUGCCAACCCGCGAGGGUGAGCUAAUCUCUUAAAGUACGUCUCAGUUCGGAUUGUAGUCUGCAACUCGACUACAUGAAGUCGGAAUCGCUAGUAAUCGCGGAUCAGCACGCCGCGGUGAAUACGUUCCCGGGUCUUGUACACACCGCCCGUCACACCAUGGGAGUUUGUAAUGCCCAAAGCCGGUGGCCUAACCUUUUAGGAAGGAGCCGUCUAAGGCAGGACAGAUGACUGGGGUGA
rnacentral:rRNA from 1 species